rnacentral:rRNA from 1 species
AGCUCCAAUAGCGUAUAUUAAAGUUGUUGCGGUUAAAAAGCUCGUAGUCGAAUUUGUGUCUCGCGCCGUCCGGUUCAUCGUUCGCGGUGUCAACUGGCGUGUCGCGAGACGUCCUGCCGGCGGGUCGUUCGCAAGGGCGGCCCAAAUUGCCCCGCCGCGGUGCUCUUCACUGAGUGUCGAGGUGGGCCGGCACUUUUACUUUGAACAAACUAAGGUGCUUAAAGCAGGCUGAAAUUUUGCCAGAAUAUUUUAUGCAUGGAAUAAUGAAACAGGACCUCGAUUCUAUUUUGUUGGUUUUCGGAACCUCGAGGUAAUGAUUAACAGGAACGGAUGGGGGCAUUCGUAUUGCGACGUUAGAGGUGAAAUUCUUGGAUCGUCGCAAGACGGACAGAAGCGAAAGCAUUUGCCAAAAACGUUUUCA